UCCUUGCGUGACAUAUAAUAUGUGACCUCAUAGUUGGCUUUAGUUUUACUGAAUUUCCUGCUCUCACGUAGCUCAGCAGCAAUGGCGCUUUGUUCAGUCACUCUAAUUUUGUACAACAACAGCACUUCCACUCCAUCUUUCGCAACCCUCUCAACGUCCCAUCACCAUCGCUCCUCUUUCUCCUCGUUUCCCUCUCUCUCCCUUAAGUCCCUUUCGAUUCCUCUUUCCUUUCAUCUCCCAUCGUCGGGAUUCUCUUCCACUACUCAUCUGAGGAGAAGUCAUACACUUAAGGGAUUGAGGGCAAAAUGUUCGCUUCGCCAACCGCUGAAGGUGAUGAUAUCGGGGGCACCAGCUUCGGGUAAAGGAAGUCAAUGUGAGCUGAUUGUUCAGAAGUUUGGAUUGGUGCACAUUUCAACUGGAGAUCUUCUUCGAGCUCAAGUAUCAUCUGGCACGGAGAUUGGAAACAAAGCAAAAGAAUAUAUGGAGAGUGGACGUUUGGUUCCCGAUGAAAUUGUCACAGCUAUGGUGAGAUCUCGAUUAUCACAUGAAGAUGCACAAGAAAAAGGGUGGCUUCUUGAUGGGUACCCACGAAGUUCCACCCAGGCACAAAGUCUGGAGCAAAUGAAGAUUAGACCAGACAUAUACAUUGUUUUAGAUGUUCCUGAUGAAAUUCUAAUCGACAGAUGUGUCGGAAGGAGGCUUGAUCCACUUACUGGGAAAAUUUACCAUCUUAAAAAUUUCCCUCCAGAGUCGGAUGAAAUAAAAGCAAGACUUAUAACACGACCUGAUGACACUGCUGAAAAAGCGAAAUCACGGCUAGAAACUUACAAAGAAAAUGCUGAUGCUAUCUCUUCAACAUAUGUCGACUUAAUGACUAAGAUUGAUGGUAACCGUCCAAAAGCAGUUAUUUUUGAGGAAAUAGACUCUCUGCUACUGCAAGUCCAGAAGGAUAAACUAAAGGCGACAAAUUUAGGGAUAGCAGUCAGUGAAAACAAUAGCAACUCAAAUUUGGUGUCUUCUAGCAAGUGCCAGGAUAAUUGGAAAGGAAUCCCUACCCGGUUAAACAACAUUCCCCAUUCUAGAGAAAUAAGGAAAUAUUUCUAUGAUGAUGUGCUAGCAGCUACUCAAAGGGCUAUAAAUGAUGGAAGAGUCAGAUUGAAGGUUGAAAUCCGUAUUCCAGAGCUUAACCCAGAAAUGGAUGUCUACCGAAUUGGUACUCUAAUGGAACUUGUUCGUGUUCUUGCCCUUUCAUUUGCUGAUGAUGGAAAACGUGUCAAGGUUUGUGUUCAAGGAUCUAUGGGAGAGGGUGCACUUGCUGGAAUGCCAUUGCAGCUUGCUGGAACCCGAAAGAUUUUGGAGUUCAUGGACUGGGGGGAUUAUGGUGCUAAGGGGACCUUUAUCAACAUUGGUUCUAUAGGUGCCAAAGAGGUUGAUGAACAGGAUGACAUGUUUAUUUUAGUUGCUCCUCAAAAUGCUGUUGGGAAUUGUAUUAUUGAUGAUCUAAAAGCUAUGACUGAUUCUGCCGGUAACCGCCCUGUCAUUCUUAUCAAUCCUCGGCUCAAGGAUCUGCCUGCCUCUAGUGGAAUCAUGCAAACAAUGGGAAGGGACAAGAGAUUGGAGUAUGCAGCGUCAUUCCAGAGCUGCUAUACCUUCAGGCUUCUUUAUUAUGCAGGCACACAAUAUCCAAUCAUGGGUGCUCUCAGGAUGUCUUACCCGUACCAGUAUGAAGUUUACAAGAGGGUUGAUGAAUCUUCUAGGAAAGAGAAGUAUAUCAUCCUGGCCACAUUCCCUGAAAAUCCUAAUGUUGAUGAAAUUAAUGAUGCAUUCCAAGGAAAGCCAAGAAACCAAGAAAAGAAGGCCUCUGGAAUCUGGGGUUUCUUAAGCGGCAUCCUCUGAAUAUGGAAGGUAUCACAUAUUUUUAGUGGUUUCGUGUGCAGGCCUGUGUCAAAAGGGUAUGUUUAGGGAAAACAUGAUGUCUAAAAGAUGGAUGGCUAUCUAAUUCUACUUGAUACAUAAUACAUAAAUAUCUAAUCUUGAAGGAAUUCUUGGGCAGUGCACUAAAAGCACUCAGGGAGGAUGUCUGAUGUUCACAUGUUUCACCAUGAGAUAUUUCAGGGUGGGUGUCCGGCUUGUAAUUUUUCAUCAGGAUUUCUCUCAUUCUCAAGGAGCUUUUGAUAUCAAGUGCGCAACAUGUAAACAAUUUCCCCUGUAAAUUCUGCAUUGUCUUUUUUAUCAUUAAAUGCAUAUUAGCUUAAACCUUAACAAAUUUUAGUCAACACAAUUACAAUUAUAAUUUUAUCUCUUUCUAGGGCGUUACAUGAACUGAUCCCAUGAAUAUUGUCUGCAUCAAUUGCUGUGACAUAAACAAACCAGAUUAGUGUUAGGCACUAGUCAAUGCAAGCUUGAAUUGGCUUAAAA